CCCUCGGGGCCCGAGUUGUAAUUUGUAGAGGGUGCUUUGGCGUCGGCACCGGCCUAAGUUCCUUGGAACAGGACCUCAUAGAGGGUGAGAAUCCCGUAUGUGGCCGGCCGCCUCCGCCGUGUAAAGCCCCUUCGACGAGUCGAGUUGUUUGGGAAUGCAGCUCUAAAUGGGAGGUAAAUUCCUUCUAAAGCUAAAUACCGGCCAGAGACCGAUAGCGCACAAGUAGAGUGAUCGAAAGAUGAAAAGCACUUUGGAAAGAGAGUCAAAAAGCACGUGAAAUUGUUGAAAGGGAAGCGCUUGCAGCCAGACUUGCCUGUAGCUGCUCACCCGGGCUCUUGCCCGGUGCACUCUUCUACGGGCAGGCCAGCAUCAGUUUGGGCGGCCGGACAAAGGCCCCGGGAACGUAGCUCUCUUCGGGGAGUGUUAUAGCCCGGGGUGCCAUGCGGCCAGCCCGGACUGAGGUCCGCGCAUCUGCUAGGAUGCUGGCGUAAUGGCUGUAAGCGGCCCGUCUUGAAACACGGACCAAGGAGUCUAACAUCUAUGCGAGUGUUUGGGUGUCAAGCCCGGGCGCGCAAUGAAAGUGAACGGAGGUGGGAACCCCCCCGGGGUGCACCAUCGACCGAUCCUGAUGUCUUCGGAUGGAUUUGAGUAAGAGCAUAGCUGUUGGGACCCGAAAGAUGGUGAACUAUGCCUGAAUAGGGUGAAGCCAGAGGAAACUCUGGUGGAGGCUCGCAGCGGUUCUGACGUGCAAAUCGAUCGUCAAAUUUGGGCAUAGGGGCGAAAGACUAAUCGAACUAUCUAGUAGCUGGUUCCUGCCGAAGUUUCCCUCAGGAUAGCAGUAACGUUUUCAGUUUUAUGAGGUAAAGCGAAUGAUUAGAGGCCUGGGGGUUGAAACAACCUUCACCUAUUCUCAAACUUUAAAUAUGUAAGAAGUCCUUGUUACUUAAUUGAACGUGGACAUUUGAAUGUACCGUUACUAGUGGGCCAUUUUUGGUAAGCAGAACUGGCGAUGCGGGAUGA
rnacentral:rRNA from 1 species